rnacentral:rRNA from 1 species
AGCGAACGCUGGCGGCAGGCCUAACACAUGCAAGUCGAACGAACCUUUCGGGGUUAGUGGCGGACGGGUGAGUAACACGUGGGAACGUGCCUUUAGGUUCGGAAUAACUCAGGGAAACUUGUGCUAAUACCGAAUGUGCCCUUCGGGGGAAAGAUUUAUCGCCUUUAGAGCGGCCCGCGUCUGAUUAGCUAGUUGGUUGAGGUAAUGGCUCACCAAGGCGACGAUCAGUAGCUGGUCUGAGAGGAUGAUCAGCCACAUUGGGACUGAGACACGGCCCAAACUCCUACGGGAGGCAGCAGUGGGGAAUCUUGCGCAAUGGGCGAAAGCCUGACGCAGCCAUGCCGCGUGAAUGAUGAAGGUCUUAGGAUUGUAAAAUUCUUUCACCGGGGACGAUAAUGACGGUACCCGGAGAAGAAGCCCCGGCUAAUUUCGUG